UACAGGGGGUGCAAACGUUGCUCGGAAUUAUUGGGCGUAAAGCGCGCGUAGGCGGCUACUUAAGUCGGAUGUGAAAGCCCCCUGGCUCAACUGGGGAAGUGCACCCGAAACUGAGUAGCUAGAGUGCAAAAGAGGGUCGCGGAAUUCCCGGUGUAGAGGUGAAAUUCGUAGAUAUCGGGAGGAACACCGGUGGCGAAGGCGGCGACCUGGGUUGACACUGACGCUGAGACGCGAAAGCAUGGGGAGCAAACAGG
rnacentral:rRNA from 1 species